GAUAUUUUCCCCUGCUCACUCGUGUUUCCCCUGUAGCUUCAAUUUAGUCUCUGCAUUUUAUUGCAUUUUCUGAUAUUUAUCCUAAAAUUAGACCUAGCAUCCCCAAGACUGUAGUCCUUUGCUUCAUUAGCAUUUCAACUCCAGGAAGGGAGGAGGCUGUAGGCAACUUCCCUCAGGGGAUGACUUUCUUUGGUUUUUCCUGUGUACUGUUGGAUCCUCUCAUGGAGAGGCAUUGCGCUCAAUCUACAUCAUGCAUGGCCAAAGUCACGCAUGAGUGAGGGUCAUCGUGUAUCCAAUUAACUUCUGAGAAUUGGCAGUUAAAGAUCUCCCCAUCGCCAUGUGAUGGCUCCAACUUGGCUUCCAUCCCGGUCCCUUCAAUCCUGAGAGUGUAAAUGGGAAAACACUGUGAUCCAGUUCCUCCACCCCCAGGAAGUACUGUUUCCUCGCUUAGGGACACUCUAAGCACUGUGGAACCUUGCAUCUUGUUGACAUUUGAUGGUGACUUCACAG
rnacentral:lncRNA from 1 species